CAGCAGCCGCGGUAAUACGGAGGAUCCAAGCGUUAUCCGGAAUUAUUGGGUUUAAAGCGCACGUAGGCGGAUAUUUAAGUCAGGGGUGAAAUCCCGCAGCUCAACUGCGGAACUGCCUUUGAUACUGGCAAGCUAGAGUGUGUCAGAGGAUGGUGGAAUUCCCGGUGUAGCGGUGAAAUGCGUAGAGAUCGGGAGGAACAUCAGUGGCGAAGGCGGCCAUCUGGGACAACACUGACGCUGAGGCACGAAAGCGUGGGGAGCAAACAGGAUUAGAUACCCCAGUAGUCCCUGUCUCUUAUAC
rnacentral:rRNA from 1 species